rnacentral:lncRNA from 1 species
UUUCUCGCUUCUUCUUCCUCAAGACGUAGAGACUUACGAGCAUGUUAGAUAAAUCGCCGGUUUUCGCCCCUUAUAUCAUCAGAAAUUGUGUGCCAGAUUGUUCUCAUUUUUCAGGUAAGAAUAAUCCCAGAGAAAAUCACGUCAUGGUGGAGAAUAUCUUAGAACUCGAAGUCGCAAACCAAUCGUCAAAACAAACCAGGUUAAUCUAAUUCGAGUUGCAGCAGUAAGCAAUGACGUUUAAUGCAGUAUAGUAGAAGAAGCUUGGACGACGGGUAGGGUAAAAGAAACUGAGGCGAAUUAAACAUUUUUCAACCUGAAUCGCAUGUGAAAUUCCUACUCCAUCUAUUCGAUUUUCUAAAACCUAAGUGGUAACAGAUUUUAUUUGAAAUUCCUUGCCAAUUUGGCAUUUUUUUGGUAUUUGCAAUUGACUUUGUAAUUUGCCAUCCCUCUUACAUAUUUAGAUGGUCAAAAUUUUGGUUAAAUUGUGUUAAUGAGAAUUGUUCAAUUCAACGAAGUUUCAAUGCCUAUUAGGUGUUUGAUGAAAUGUCGGAUAAGUAUUUUUGACCAAUGGUUGCUCAACAACCAUAUACAUGGACUGUUAUUUCAGUGGCUUUAAUUUAUGUUAAUUUAUGGAGGUGAAGAUGAUGUUCUUCAACCUUUUCUUCCCUUUUCUUCUCGUCUUGUAGCCAUAGACUACAUUGUUUGUGAUGAGAGUGAUUCUUUGUCAGUAGCAACAAUGGGAACAUGCCAAAAAGCCUUGUGUAAG